GACGAACGCUGGCGGCGUGCCUAAUACAUGCAAGUCGAGCGGACUUGAGGAGAAGCUUGCUUCUCUGAUGGUUAGCGGCGGACGGGUGAGUAACACGUAGGCAACCUGCCUGUAAGACUGGGAUAACUACUGGAAACGGUAGCUAAUACCGGAUAGCUGGUUUUCUCGCAUGAGAGAAUUAUGAAAGAUGGAGCAAUCUAUCACUUACGGAUGGGCCUGCGGCGCAUUAGCUAGUUGGUGAGGUAAUGGCUCACCAAGGCGACGAUGCGUAGCCGACCGGAGAGGGUGAACGGCCACACUGGGACUGAGACACGGCCCAGACUCCUACGGGAGGCAGCAGUAGGGAAUCUUCCGCAAUGGACGAAAGUCUGACGGAGCAACGCCGCGUGAGUGAUGAAGGUUUUCGGAUCGUAAAGCUCUGUUGCCAGGGAAGAACGACUUGGAGAGUCACUGCUCCAAGUGUGACGGUACCUGAGAAGAAAGCCCCGGCUAACUACGUGCCAGCCGCCGCGGUAAGAC
rnacentral:rRNA from 1 species